AUGGAGCAAAUUGCUGAAGGUCUAGACGUAGAUGUUUCAGGUCAGAGGAAAGGAAAUUGUGGAAGAAAGCCGAAAGACAUCAAUCUAGAGCAAAUCCCUACCAUCCCACUAAACAGGAGGUCUACUAUCAGGUCACUUGCCUAGCAACUCGGGUGCAGCCCUACGACACUCCACCGGAAGUUCAUGCUC
rnacentral:rRNA from 1 species